rnacentral:rRNA from 1 species
ACAGCGAAAGGUGCUUGCACCUUUCAAGUGAGUGGCGAACGGGUGAGUAACACGUGGACAACCUGCCUCAAGGCUGGGGAUAACAUUUGGAAACAGAUGCUAAUACCGAAUAAAACUUAGUGUCGCAUGACACAAAGUUAAAAGGCGCUUCGGCGUCACCUAGAGAUGGAUCCGCGGUGCAUUAGUUAGUUGGUGGGGUAAAGGCCUACCAAGACAAUGAUGCAUAGCCGAGUUGAGAGACUGAUCGGCCACAUUGGGACUGAGACACGGCCCAAACUCCUACGGGAGGCUGCAGUAGGGAAUCUUCCACAAUGGGCGAAAGCCUGAUGGAGCAACGCCGCGUGUGUGAUGAAGGCUUUCGGGUCGUAAAGCACUGUUGUAUGGGAAGAACAGCUAGAAUAGGAAAUGAUUUUAGUUUGACGGUACCAUACCAGAAAGGGACGGCUAAAUACGUGCCAGCAGCCGCGGUAAUACGUAUGUCCCGAGCGUUAUCCGGAUUUAUUGGGCGUAAAGCGAGCGCAGACGGUUUAUUAAGUCUGAUGUGAAAGCCCGGAGCUCAACUCCGGAAUGGCAUUGGAAACUGGUUAACUUGAGUGCAGUAGAGGUAAGUGGAACUCCAUGUGUAGCGGUGGAAUGCGUAGAUAUAUGGAAGAACACCAGUGGCGAAGGCGGCUUACUGGACUGCAACUGACGUUGAGGCUCGAAAGUGUGGGUAGCAAACAGGAUUAGAUACCCUGGUAGUCCACACCGUAAACGAUGAACACUAG